GGAAGAGAAAAAGCAAAGUACAAAAGCUUCACUGUGUAAGAAGUGUGAAAGACUUCUAGCAUGUAGCUCUGUUAAAGGCCUGGCUGAUAGCUCUGUACAGCAGAAAAUCUCUUCCACCAUCAUUCACUGAGGGCUUGGAUUUAUUGGGCAGCUGCUUGCUUUGCUUCUGUGGCAGAGAGCAGGGAUUUGCCAAACAGAUUUGAUGGUGCCAUGUAAAAUUUGCAAAUUCAUUUUCACGUAAUGACCCAAGACUGGAACUUCACAGACUGAGUCUUCUCAGAGGUGUUCAUUGGCAGAAGGAUGAAAAGAUUGUCUCCACAAUACGAGGAAUCUUUAAAUCCUACUCUCCGUCUGACCUGAGAUGCUCAUCUCCCAACCCAAGCCUCUCCCUGGGCUGUAUCAAAUUCAUUCACUGCUACCUGCUCUCUUGCAUUUACAAAUUACAUACAAUAUUCUGGUUAGAAAAUGGAGAAUCUGGAAGCCUUCACUGAUAAUACCAGGACUUCCUUUGCCAAAUGCAUUAUUCCGCUGAGAAGAUGCUGUGAUUUUCUUCUAAAUUCUAGGAAAAGCUGGAAGAAACUGGCUUGUGGCCUGAGAAGGAGGCUGGAACCACAAAGGAUUGCACCGCUAUCAUUCAUGAGAUCAUCUGAUAGAUCUGUGUGCUGUGUUUGACAACUCUUAGCCUCUGGAAGAUGUUUUUUUUUAAGGCAAUCUGUUCCUAUCCUUAAUUAGAAAAACAAUGGACAAAAAAGAGCCUGCACUGUGGUCACUUGGCUUUCUGCGUUUACAUUUCCAUUUAUUGUGUUCAUUAAGUGCAUGUAACAAGAAUCUCCACAGGCUUUGGUGUACAGAGGGUUACCAAAUUGUUUUUUGUAUGUGGACUUCCAAUUAAAAUUUCCAAUUUCCAGGUCCACUGCUUUGUCUCUACGAGCUCCAAAGAGAACCAAAAGCGGGGAGAAAUGGCUCCACAAAUUUCAGCCUCUGUACUUAUUACAAUCUGGUUAGGAGGCUCCUGCUAUUCACCGGCUUAGAAAACAAUUUGAAAUUCAAAUUAAAGUGGCUGUGAGGGAGCUAUAGUCUCGUUCUUCUGUACAGAAGUGUGUCUGCAGAGCUCUGCAAGAAAGCAUAAAAGCUUUGACAAUGAUCAGUCUCUCAGCUUGUGCACACUUAGAGGCCAAGUUCAAAGUCAAGUAGCUAAAUGGUCCUAAGGAAAGUGUCCCAUGUGAUGCCUCAGAGGUCUAGUGCUCAUUCCCAUUAAAGCCAUUUUGGUACUUUCACACGCCUUUGAUAAUGAACAAGAUUCAAAACAUCUUCGCUUUUCUCACUGGUGGCACGGUUUCAAGGAUGACAUGGGCAGCUUCCUAUUUAUGGAGUUCAUUUUACAGGCUUCUUUAUCAACUCCAUUAAUAUUUAUGUAAACUCAAAUUGCUUUCAAUGUCAUUAUCACAACAUAUCAUUUUGCUUCAUUGCAUGUAUUGUAACUCCAAAAGAUAGUUUGACAAGGUUAGGCCCUUACAUAUGCUUAAUGAUGUGUACCUGAUUUUAGCAUUUGCUUAGAUGUGUAUCGGUAUUUGUAUUUUGUAUGCUCCUCUUGGCGCUAUAGGAGUCCUAUAUGAUGAGCUGCAGAAGCUACUGAAGGAAAGGAUGAAUCGAGACAAUUUGCAGAAGUGGAGGCCAUCCAGCUCUACCUCUACACUGACUCUUGAAUGGUGGCAAAUGCCCUGUGGGAAUGGUUACAGCAAUGGAAGCAGAACAGCUGGCAGUACAGAGGAAAACUCAUCUGGGUCACUGCAUUGUGGAAAGGUAUUGCUGCCCAGGUAGAGAACAUGAUUGUGAAGGUACGUCAUCUAGAUGCUCACAUACCCAAGAGUCUGACUGAAGAACCUCAAAACAAUCAGCAGGUGAAAUAGGCUGCUAGGAUUCAAGUGGCUCAGGUAGACUUGGACUGGCAACAUAAGAGUGAACUAUUUUUAUCUCAGUGGGCCCAUGACACUUCCAGCCACCAAGGAAGAGAUGCAACAUAUGGAUGGACUCAGGAUCAAGGGGUGGACUUGACUAUGGAUGGUAUUGCACAGCUUAGCCAUGAAUGUGAAACAUACUCUAAUUAAGCAAGCCAAGCAGAUAAAACCUCUUUGUCAUGGAGAAAGAUGGCCACAAUAUUAAUACAGGGAGGCCUGGCAGGUGGGUUACAUCACUCUCCCAUAAACUUGCCAUGUCAGUUACCAUUUGUUUACAAUGGUGGAAGCAACCACCAGAUGGCUGGAAACAUAUCCCAUGCCCCAUGCCACAGCACAAAAUACUACCCUGGGUCUUGAAAAGCAAGUCGUGUGGUGACAUGGCACUCCAGAAAGAAUUGAGUCAGACAGCAGGACUCAUUUGCAAAAAAAAAAAAAAAAAAAACCACAAAAAACAAAACAAAACAAAAAAAAACCUCAUAGACACCUGGGCCAAGGAGAAUGGUAUUGAGUGGAUAUAUUACAUCCCCUAUCAGACAUCAGCCUCUGGAAAAAUUAAAUGAUAAAAUGGACCGUUAAAGGCUACAUUGAGAGCAAUAGGUGCUGGGACAUUCAAACAUUGAUAUACACAUUUAACGAAAGUCGCCUGGUUCGUCAGUACUUGGUGAUCUGCCAGUCAAGCUGGUCCUGGCCAAUCAAAACUCCUGCAGACCACAGAAGGGGAUAAAGUCCCCAUGGUGCAUAUAAGGAACAUUCUGGGCACAACAGGCUGAGUUAUUCCUGCCGUGGGCAAAGGCAAACUUGCUUGUGGGCUUGCUUUUGCUCAAGGACUUGGGUACAUGCGGUGGGUAACAUGGAAUGAUGGGGAUGUCUGGUGUGUACCUCAAGGUGAUCUGAUGCUGGGUAAGAACAGCCAAUAAUUCUAUGAUGUUAAAUUAUUACAUAAUACUGCGUGUCAUCUUUAUUAUGGUCAUUAUAUGUCUUGUUAACAGUAGUAGAGUAAGAACUACCCUGGUUAAAGAAUGAACUCAGAUGGAACCAGAGUUUGUUUCUGCAUGCAGUAAUCCAAAACUGUGAAUCUUUCCUCCUACACAGAAGGACAGAUAAAGAUAAGGCCCGAAGUUAUGAAAUGAAUGAAUAUCGUGGGCAAUUUACAUGAAGGGCCUAUAGACUACGGGGAAAAGAUGUAUAUAUAUAUAUAUCAAAAAGCAAGAUAGGUGAUAGUAAUGAGAGCAGUUAGGAUGUGUAGUAAUUGUAGUGCCAGAGCAUGAUGGAAAUGGUAUGGAAUUAAGGGUAUGUACCGUCUUAGUUUCAGCUGGGAUAAAAUUUCUUUCUUCAGAGUGUCAGGUGUGAUACCAUGUUUUGGUUCUAGGAGAAAAACAAUGUUGACAACACACCCAUGUUUAUAGCUGCUGCUAAGCAGUGUUGUACAGAGUCAACAUCAUUCUCAGUGAAGGACCCAAGAAGCUGGGAGGGAACAGAAUUAGGACGGCUGACUUAAACUGGCCAAAGUGAUAUUCCAUGUCGUAUGACAUCAUACGGGAGGAGUUUUGAAGGGGGUGGGAGCUCAUCUCUUGCUUUUGCACUACUCAGGAGGCUAUCUGGGCAUCAGCUGGGAGAUGUAGAGCAAUUGCUUGUGCACCGCUUGUUAUAUACAUUUAUAUGUAUAUAUGUUUGUAAUAUUUUUCCUUUUCUCUAUCUUAGUAAACAGUUUUAUCUCAAACCAUGAAUUCUACUUUCUUUUUUUCCCAAUUCUUUCCCCCAUUUCCUUGGGAAGGGAGGAAGUGAGUAAACAACUGUAUGGUGCUCAGAUGCCUAUCAGGAUAAAACACAUUGGGCUUUAGUAGAAAAUGCUAUAAGAUAUCCACCUUAAUCAUUGUUGAAAUAUCUUUCAAAUGCAGUCUCCCACACUGCAUGCUACAUCAUUAGCAAACAAGGUGAAAAUGCACAAUGUCUGAGUAGUUCACAAGUCCAAGCUCACACAGAUCUUCACAGCUAUCUGUUGAGCCAACUUGUUUAAUUAUGGCUGAUGGCAUUAAUUUGGGAAUUUUUAUGUCUAGUGUUUUUGCUGGAAUUGUCAUACACCUCUGGUUACUUGGAAUUUUCAAAGUUCAUUUUCCCAUUUAAACCUUGACAAUGACCUAUAGCACUCUUCUGUUCUGUUAUAUAGUUCUGUUCCAAUAGCCAUGUCUGUGAUAUCUCACUCAUAAACCACAACACCACAUUAAUUAUAUGAAUAUCUAGUACUGUCAGGCUUUGUACCACACAAUUACAGGCAAGCUGAGAUAAGUUUUAAGAACUUGAGCUGUGAUUUGAAUUGCUGUUCUUUCAGUUUGAUACUUGCAAC
ensembl:lncRNA